AGCGGCGGACGGGUGAGUAACGCGUGGGUAACCUGCCUCAUACAGGGGGAUAACAGUUAGAAAUGGCUGCUAAUACCGCAUAAGACCACAGUACUGCAUGGUACAGUGGUAAAAACUCCGGUGGUAUGAGAUGGACCCGCGUCUGAUUAGGUAGUUGGUGAGGUAACGGCCCACCAAGCCGACGAUCAGUAGCCGACCUGAGAGGGUGACCGGCCACAUUGGGACUGAGACACGGCCCAGACUCCUACGGGAGGCAGCAUG
rnacentral:rRNA from 1 species